UACGAGGGGGGCAAGCGUUGUUCGGAUUUAUUGGGCGUAAAGGGUGCGUAGGCGGCUUUUUAAGUUUGGUGUGAAAUCUCCCGGCUCAACUGGGAGGGUGCGCCGAAUACUGAGAGGCUAGAGUGUGGGAGAGGAAAGUGGAAUUCCUGGUGUAGCGGUGAAAUGCGUAGAUAUCAGGAGGAACACCGGUGGUGUAAACGGCUUUCUGGACCAUAACUGACGCUGAUGCACGAAAGCCGUGGGUAGCAAACAGG
rnacentral:rRNA from 1 species